rnacentral:rRNA from 1 species
GUGGGGAAUAUUGGACAAUGGGCGCAAGCCUGAUCCAGCCAUGCCGCGUGUGUGAAGAAGGUCUUCGGAUUGUAAAGCACUUUAAGUUGGGAGGAAGGGCAGUAAGUUAAUACCUUGCUGUUUUGACGUUACCGACAGAAUAAGCACCGGCUAACUUCGUGCCAGCAGCCGCGGUAAUACGAAGGGUGCAAGCGUUAAUCGGAAUUACUGGGCGUAAAGCGCGCGUAGGUGGUUCAGUAAGUUGGAAGUGAAAUCCCCGGGCUCAACCUGGGAACUGCUUUCAAAACUGCUGAGCUAGAGUACGGUAGAGGGUGGUGGAAUUUCCUGUGUAGCGGUGAAAUGCGUAGAUAUAGGAAGGAACACCAGUGGCGAAGGCGACCACCUGGACUGAUACUGACACUGAGGUGCGAAAGCGUGGGGAGCAAACAGGAUUAGAAACCCUUGUAGUCC